GACGAACGCUGGCGGCAGGCCUAACACAUGCAAGUCGAACGAGUGGCGGACGGGUGAGUAAUGUCUGGGAAACUGCCUUAUGGAGGGGGAUAACUCCUGGAAACGGUAGCUAAUACCGCAUACCAUCAGAUGCGCCCAGAUGGGAUUCGCUUGUUGGUGGGGUAACGGCUCACCAAGGCGACGAUCCCUAGCUGGUCUGAGAGGAUGACCAGCCACACUGGAACUGAGACACGGUCCAGACUCCUACGGGAGGCAGCAGUGGGGAAUAUUGCGCAAUGGGCGCAAGCCUGAUGCAGCCAUGCCGCGUGUAUGAAGAAGGCCUUCGGGUUGUAAAGUACUUGCAGCGGGGAGGCGUUACCCACAGAAGAAGCACCGGCUAACUCCGUGCCAGCCGCCGCGGUAAUUC
rnacentral:rRNA from 1 species